GACGAACGCUGGCGGCGUGCUUAACACAUGCAAGUCGAACGGAAAGGCCCCUUUGGGGGUACUCGAGUGGCGAACGGGUGAGUAACACGUGAGUAACCUGCCCUUGUCUUCGGGAUAACUUCAGGAAACUGGGGCUAAUACCGGAUAGGAAUCCUUGCUGCAUGGUGGGGGUUGGAAAGCUUCGGCGGUUUUGGAUGGACUCGCGGCUUAUCAGCUUGUUGGUGGGGUAGUGGCUUACCAAGGCUUUGACGGGUAGCCGGCCUGAGAGGGCGACCGGCCACAUUGGGACUGAGAUACGGCCCAGACUCCUACGGGAGGCAGCAGUGGGGAAUAUUGCACAAUGGGCGGAAGCCUGAUGCAGCAACGCCGCGUGCGGGAUGACGGCCUUCGGGUUGUAAACCGCUUUCAGCAGGGGCGAAGCUUGUGGUGACGGUACCUGCAGAAGAAGCACCGGCUAACUACGUG
rnacentral:rRNA from 1 species